rnacentral:rRNA from 1 species
AACGAACGCUGGCGGCAUGCCUAACACAUGCAAGUCGAACGAGACCUUCGGGUCUAGUGGCGCACGGGUGCGUAACGCGUGGGAAUCUGCCCUCAGGUACGGAAUAACUCAGGGAAACUUGAGCUAAUACCGUAUAAUGACUUCGGUCCAAAGAUUUAUCGCCUGGGGAUGAGCCCGCGUCGGAUUAGCUAGUUGGUGAGGUAAAGGCUCACCAAGGCGACGAUCCGUAGCUGGUCUGAGAGGAUGAUCAGCCACACUGGGACUGAGACACGGCCCAGACUCCUACGGGAGGCAGCAGUGGGGAAUAUUGGACAAUGGGCGCAAGCCUGAUCCAGCAAUGCCGCGUGAGUGAUGAAGGCCUUAGGGUUGUAAAGCUCUUUUACCCGGGAAGAUAAUGACUGUACCGGGAGAAUAAGCCCCGGCUAACCUCCGUGCCAGCAGCCGCGGUAAUACGGAGGGGGCGUAGCGUUGUUCGGAAUUACUGGGCGUAAAGCGCGCGUA